CCCCUCUCAGGGUUGCAGCUGGAGAGUUUCAGGUACUCUACGGUCUCGGCUGCGGGAGGGAGAGUCAAGCAGAGGCCUACCCAUUCCAUUCCUAGCUUGGCCAGUGGCUAGCGAGUGGAAGGCCAUCUGCUACAAGU